CGUGGACACGCUUGGUCUGCUGGAGCCGCGCGCUCUGCGCACACGUGUCACCACGGGUUUGUUCCGUCGUUUCACCAGAGAUUGCGCGAGGCUACUGAUGCUGACAGUGCAUUUGUGAAAAUCAGCUCUCCAACCCUGGCAGUGUACCUGAUUGAUCUACAGAUAAUUCCACAGGCAAAUGACCCAGAACUACAAGAAGACACUUGUCAGGAUAACGGAAACCUAUGAUGUUUUACACCAGCGAUUUACGAACACAAUUCCAUAAAGUUGGUGAACUUGCAAAUUUAGACUAUCGUAUUGAACUCUGCCUGGUAAAUGCCAGUGCCUAAACUUUAUAACAGAGGUUUUCCUUUAAUAAAAGUCUGUGGACUCUAAGCCCAA